rnacentral:rRNA from 1 species
ACUGCUCAGUAACACGUGGCUAACCUGCCCUUGGGACGAGAACAACCCCGGGAAACUAGGGCUAACUCUCGAUAGGCGAAGAACUCUGGAAUGAGUUUUCACCCAAACAGUUUAAGGUUAUGCUCUUUAAACCGCCCAAGGAUGGGCCGCGACCGAUCAGGUUGUUGGUGAGGUAAUGGCUCACCAAGCCUUUUACCGGUGCGGGCCGUGGGAGCGGGAGCCCGGAGAUGGGCACUGAGACAAGGGCCCAGGCCCUACGGAGCGCAGCAGUCGCGAAAACUUUGCAAUAAGCGAAAGCUUGACAGGGCUAUCCCGAGUGCCAUCCGCUGAGGAAGGCUUUUACCCAGUCUAGAACGCUGGGGGAAUAAGGAGAGGGCAAGUCUGGUGUCAGCCGCCGCGGUAAUACCAGCUCUCCGAGUGGUGUGGAUGUUUAUUGGGCCUAAAGCAUCCGUAGCUGGCUAAGUUAGUCCCCUGUUAAAUCCACCGAAUUAAUCGUUGGAUUGCGGGGGAUACUGCUUGGCUAGGGGACGAGAGAGGCAGACGGUAUUUCCGGGGUAGGGGUGAAAUCCUAUAAUCCCGGGAAGACCACCAGUGGCGAAGGCUGUCUGCUAGAACGCGCCCGACGGUGAGGGAUGAAAGCUGGGGGAGCGAACCGGAUUAGAUACCCGGGUAGUCCCAGCUGUAAACGAUGCAGACUAGGUGUUUGAACGGCCACGUGCCGUUCUAGUGCCGCAGGGAAGCUGUUAAGUCUGCCGCCUGGGGAGUACGAUCGCAAGAUUGAAACUUAAAGGAAUUGGCGGGGGAGCAC